AUGCGUCAAGUACAGGAGCUGCUCGAGAAAGGAGGCAUUAAUAAUAUUACUAUUCGUUAUCGUCAUCCUAUUCCUAGGCUCGAUGAUAUGCUUGAUGAAUUGAGUGGCUCUACAAUAUUCUCCAAAGUUGAUUUGCGUAGUGGAUACCAUCAAAUUCGUAUGAAAUUGGGAGAUGAAUGGAAAACUGCAUUUAAAACUAAGUUUGGUUUAUAUGAGUGGUUAGUCAUGCCUUUUGGGUUAACUAAUGCACCUAGUACUUUCAUGAGACUAAUGAACGAAGUUUUACGUGCUUUCAUUGGACGAUUUGUGGUGGUCUAUUUUGAUGAUAUACUGAUUUAUAGCAAAUCUUUGGAAGAACAUUUGGAACAUUUACGUGCUGUUUUUAUUGCUCUACGUGAUGCACGUUUGUUUGGUAACCUUGGGAAGUGCACCUUUUGCACCGACCGAGUAUCUUUUCUUGGCUAUGUUGUUACUCCACAGGGAAUUGAAGUUGAUAAAGCCAAGAUUGAAGCUAUUGAGAGUUGGCCGCAGCCCAAAACGGUCACACAAGUGCGGAGUUUUCUUGGACUCGCUGGUUUCUAUAGGCGUUUUGUGAGAGAUUUUAGCACCAUUGCUGCACCUCUCAACGAGCUUACAAAGAAGGAUGUGCCUUUUGUUUGUGGUACCGCACAGGAAGAAGCCUUCACGGUAUUGAAAGAUAAGUUGACACAUGCUCCUUUACUCCAACUUCCUGAUUUUAAUAAGACUUUUGAGCUUGAAUGUGAUGCUAGUGGCGUUGGAUUAGGAGGUGUGUUAUUACAAGAUGGCAAACCUGUUGCAUACUUUUCUGAAAAAUUGAGUGGGCCUAGUCUGAAUUAUUCUACUUAUGAUAAAGAACUAUAUGCUCUUGUUCGGACUUUAGAAACAUGGCAACAUUAUUUAUGGCCCAAAGAAUUUGUUAUACAUUCUGAUCAUGAAUCUUUGAAACAUAUUAAAAGUCAAGCUAAACUGAAUCGUAGACAUGCUAAAUGGGUUGAAUUCAUUGAAACUUUCCCUUAUGUCAUUAAACACAAGAAGGGUAAAGAAAAUGUUAUUGCUGAUGCAUUGUCUCGUCGCUAUACUAUGCUUUCACAACUUGACUUCAAAAUAUUUGGUUUGGAGACCAUCAAAGAUCAAUAUGUACAUGAUGCUGAUUUUAAAGAUGUAUUGCAGAAUUGUAAAGAAGGAAGAACCUGGAACAAGUUUGUCGUUAAUGAUGGAUUUGUGUUCCGUGCUAACAAGCUAUGCAUUCCAGCUAGCUCUCUUCGUCUUUUGUUGUUGCAGGAGGCGCAUGGAGGAGGAUUAAUGGGACACUUUGGCGUGAAGAAGACGGAGGACGUACUUGCUACACAUUUCUUUUGGCCAAAGAUGAGACGGGAUGUUGAGCGGCUGUUUUGA
rnacentral:rRNA from 1 species